UUGCAGUUGCCGCCAAGAACAGUUUAACCGGCGCUUCGUCCAUCGUUUCUGCUGCUUUUUUGACCGACUGCUACAUUUGUAGAAAGACAGCAUCAGGGUACUAAAGAGAGGGGUCCAGACACACUGUUUAAUCGCAGGCGGUCCACACAUUGCCUGCAAUGAAGAUGUUUCUUGUUGUACACUUCAUCGAGAAGAAUGAAGUUGAGAUCGUCCCUGCGAGUUGGGUCAGCGGUACAACUUGUAAAUGGCCAAGGGUGGCAUCGCACAAGGUUCAACAGA